AGCCCUAAGCUUUCCCAGGCUUUCCCUUGAUUUUUUAAAACCUUUGCCCCUGCUGUGCCCUCUUCCAGGAGCGCUCACUUCUACACGGUGGAUUUGUCCUGCAAGCCUUCGCAUCCUUAGAUCACCUUCCCAGCGCCCCCUACCGAGCAGGCAUGGAGGUCCAGCCAGAGGAAAUGAACCUGCCUGAAGCCAAGCUUCAUCUCUCGGUGAAAAUGAGCCGCUAUAGGUGGUUGUGAAAUCACAGGACCUGGGUUGUUGAAACUCCUCUUGUUUCCGGGAUCUCAGCUCUUCUCUUUAGAAACAGAAACAACUUUUCCCUGAGUCAAUCCACCCACUGCUCCCUCAGGAAUGACUUACCCUCUAAAAGCCAUAAUGUUCAUGUGUACGAAUGUUAAAGUGUAAUAAGGACCCUCUCUUGCACAA